rnacentral:rRNA from 1 species
AAUAGAUACCCGGGUAGUCCACGCCGUAAACGAUGGGUGCUAGCUGUUAUGCGUAUCGACCCGUGUAGUAGCGAAGCUAACGCGUUAAGCAUCCCGCCUGGGGAGCACGAACGCAAGUUUAAAACUCAAAGGAAUUGACGGGGGACCCGCACAAGCGGUGGAGCGUGUUCUUUAAUUCGAGGCUAAGCGAAGAACCUUACCAGGGCUUGACAUCCUUGGAAUUUCUCCGAAAGGAGAGAGUACUUUAUUGGACCAAGUGACAGGUGCUGCAUGGCCGUCGUCAGCUCGUGUCGUGAGAUGUUUGGUUAAGUCCAUUAACGAGCGCAACCCUUAUGAAUAGUUGUAUUUUUCUAUUCAGACUGCCCCGGUAACGGGGAGGAAGGGGGGAUGAUGUCAGGUCAGUAUUGCCCUUACGCCCUGGGCUAGAAACGCGCUACAAUGGCCGGUACAAUGCGCUGCCAACCCGCGAGGGGGAGCAAAUCGCAUCAAAGCCGGUCCCAGUUCGGAUAAGAGGCUGAAACUCGCCUCUUUGAAGCCGGAAUCGCUAGUAAUCGU